UAAUAAAAAUAUAUUAUCUUCUCAUAGAUCGUUUUGCUAUAUUGAUAUCAUAUUAAAUAGCAAUCAAAUUGAUUACUAAUUUGGAAAUGUAUAAAUGAAGAUUCAUAUUGUCUUGAGUGCUGUUUUUAAUAUAAAAAGAAUGUUGAGUUUUCAGAGUCUUUAUUGUCAUUUUUUUGUGAUAGGACCCUACCAGACUAUAUUUGAAUACGGCAUACCCAUGAAUUCUGAACUGUUAUUCCUUAACCCAGUUUGGAGGAUAAGAGCUUACCAACUAGUUAUAAAUAUGCUGAGGUGAUGUAUUGCAAAAUAGCCAACAUACAACAAUUAAAGGAUAAUAGCAGACUACAUCCUGAUGAAGAUAUGGAUGACCCUCUGUCUGGUCAACAGGAGUUUAAAUAUGACGGGACAGUGAUGUGGGAGCUCUUCCCUGGCUCAUUCACCUCUUGCCUUCAUUUGUGAAAGGAAGAAAGACUGGAGAGGGUCAAUAUGCAACUGAAGCUACUGAUUGUGCUGUGUGAUGGGCAUCAAUCCAUGCUUUGAGGUGGAUGGAUCAGCACAGCCCUGCCUGCUCUGCGUUGGGAACAAAAGUUGCAUCCAGGGUUUUUGCAUCAUUCUGGACCAAAAAGCCAUUCCCUGCAUGAUGAAGACCACUGAUGCAGCCUUCCACUACUGUACAUCAUGAGUAAAACAACUACAGAACUAAAUACCAGGUUGGAACGUAUUUAAGAAAAAUGAAACGUCUUUUGAAUUGAAAUGUCUUUUGUUAUGGAAAAAUCUUUAGUAUUGUGAAGGAUAACAUUUCUGCUUGCCAGUAAGGUAAUUGCAGUGUAUUUUAAUGUUCAAGUUUUGAGUAGGGGGGCUAAUUUUUUUAACUCUCAUUUGAUUUAUUAAAGACCUUUUAUAAUAAGUGGUUUUCAUGUCACUGCGCUGUGGUAUAAGAUAACUUUCAUUAUUCCAUACUGUAUUCUGUUUCUAAUUGUAUUGAGGUAUUUAAAUAAACAGUGUUAAAUGCAAUGUGUUGUGUGUAUCAAUGUAAAUAUUAAAUGUGAUGUACUUUAAUAA